ACGGGGGGUGCAAGCGUUACUCGGAAUCACUGGGCGUAAAGAGCAUGUAGGCGGAUUAAUAAGUUUGAAGUGAAAUCCUAUAGCUUAACUAUAGAACUGCUUUGAAAACUGGUAAUCUAGAAUGUCGUAGAGGUGGAUAGAAUUUCUGGUGUAGCGGUGAAAUGCGUAGAGAUCAGGAGGAAUACCGAUGGCGAAGGCGGCCCCCUGGACGAAUACUGACGCUCAGGUGCGAAAGCGUGGGGAGCAAACAG
rnacentral:rRNA from 1 species